CCUACGGGAGGCUGCAGUGGGGAAUAUUGCGCAAUGGGCGAAAGCCUGACGCAGCGACGCCGCGUGAGGGAUGAAGGUCUUCGGAUCGUAAACCUCUGUCAGCAGGGAAGAACGGUCACUGUGCUAAUCAGCAGUGAAUUGACGGUACCUGCAAAGAAAGCAACGGCUAACUCCGUGCCAGCAGCCGCGGUAAUACGGAGGGUGCGAGCGUUAAUCGGAAUUACUGGGCGUAAAGCGCUCGUAGGCGGUAUGUCAAGUCAAGGGUGAAAUCCCCGCGCUCAACGUGGGAACUGCCUGUGAAACUGGUAAACUUGAGUGUGGGAGAGGAUAGUGGAAUUCCAGGUGUAGGAGUGAAAUCCGUAGAUAUCUGGAGGAACAUCAGUGGCGAAGGCGACUAUCUGGCACAUAACUGACGCUGAGGCGCGAAAGCGUGGGUAGCGAACAGGAUUAGAUACCCCGGUAGUC
rnacentral:rRNA from 1 species